UCCAUUUCACUGUCCACAAAACCACCAAGAUCCCAUCUCCAACAGAACAGGAUGUGUGACUGUUCCCUCAGUAACAAAACAGUGAACUUGACAAGUCUUGAGAGACCAUCACAAAAAUGAGGAACCUGGGAUUCAGAGAGACUCUGUAACAUCCAGAAUCAUGCAGGCAUCACAAGUCAAAAGGCCAGGCUGGCAAACAAAGAACACAGAGUUGCACUAGCUGUGCUAGAUACGGAAGA